rnacentral:rRNA from 1 species
UACGUAGGGGGCAAGCGUUGUCCGGAUUUAUUGGGCGUAAAGAGCGUGUAGGCGGCCAGGUAGGUCUGCUGUGAAAACUCGAGGCUUAACCUCGAGAUGUCGGCGGAAACCAUCUGGCUAGAGUCCGGAAGAGGAGAAUGGAAUUCCCGGUGUAGCGGUGAAAUGCGCAGAUAUCGGGAAGAACACCCGUGGCGAAGGCGGCUCACUGGACCGGCAUUGACGCUGAGGUGCGAAAGCGUGGGGAGCAAACAGG